GGCACUUUGCUUGCUAGUGUUUUGGUUGGAUGCCCUCGUCCUGAAAGUGGACAGAGGCAGCUAAGCUUCUGGAGCUGGCUCUUCUCAGGAAUAUUCAAAAGUUCCAGAGUAGAUGGAAGGAGAGAGGGGUGUCAAUGAGGACUCAAUUCUCUCUGUUUUUUAUAAAGCUGGUGAGAGCCACUCUCAAAGCAGCUGUGCAGGGCUGUCUAAGAGGACAGAAGAAUAUGCCUUUCUGAAGGUUUUGUGUUUUUUCUGACUUCACAGUAGUGUUUUGCUGGGGGUGUGUGUCAGGAGAGCAGGGCUGUGAGUGUGCCUUCUGUACAUCUGGGCUGUGUUGGUGGGUCCUAUGAGCUAUGUGAUGUAUCACAUAUAUGCUUUUCAUUUUUGUGUAAACAUAUAGAAUGAUUAGCCAAAUGGUUAAACUGUUGGGUACAAUCGCCCAAACUUUCCAACCUCUCUUUGCUUUGUUCACUUUUUCCAGGAAAGUUCUAAUUCGUUCACAAACGGGUGAGACCAGUUGGAGGAGGAAUCAAACAGGGCAGACCGAUGUGUUCGUGUUCUGGAAUUUGCCAAAGGGAACCAUCAAUCUCCAAGACAUCGGUGCUGGGCAAAGUCUCAUGUGAGCUGAUUGUUUUAGGACGAGGCAAGACGUUGGAGGAGAUUUUAGAAAUCAGAUGAGUUUCCCGGCUUCCACACACUCCUGAGCAUCGGAUCCAGGUGAGUUUGGGCAGAGCCCAGGGCUUUGAGGGGCUUCUGAGGCAC
rnacentral:lncRNA from 1 species